ensembl:lncRNA
GAAUACGGUUCGACCAGAAAAACUGUUUAUGAACUGAUUUCCUGAGAUAACUGCAGAACUGGUAGCCCAGUGAUGACCAAAUCUGGAAGUCCUGGUUUCUGGACUCACACAGCAGUCCCCACCAGUAGCUGAAUCAGACCUCUCUUUGGGUUCUGGAUGGUGCCCAUGGGAGAGGUGAUCUUGGGUGACAGGACAACCAAAACAGGAAACCCCUUCAAGAAAUCGAGGGCCUGUAGGGGUGCCCAGGAGGAUGCUGGCUGAGCGUCUCCGUGGCUCCAGGAGCAGAGAAUGGUGGAG